rnacentral:rRNA from 1 species
UACGUAGGGGGCAAGCGUUAUCCGGAUUUACUGGGUGUAAAGGGGGCGCAGACGGCGAUGCAAGCCAGGAGUGAAAGCCCGGGGCCCAACCCCGGGACUGCUCUUGGAACUGCGUGGCUGGAGUGCAGGAGGGGCAGGCGAAAUUCCUGGUGUAGCGGUGAAAUGCGUAGAUAUCAGGAGGAACACCGGUGGCGAAGGCGGCCUGCUGGACUGCAACUGACGUUGAGGCCCGAAAGCGUGGGGAGCAAACAGG